AGCGAACGCUGGCGGCAGGCCUAACACAUGCAAGUCGAGCGGCCGUAGCAAUACGGCAGCGGCAGACGGGAUAGUAACACGUGGGAACGUACCCUUCAGUUUCGGAACAACCCGAGGGAAACUUGGGCUAAUACCGAAUACGUCCGUAAGGAGAAAGAUUUAUCGCUGAAGGAUCGGCCCGCGUCUGAUUAGCUAGUUGGUGGGGUAAUGGCCCACCAAGGCGACGAUCAGUAGCUGGUCGAGAGGAUGAUCAGCAUCACUGGGACUGAGACACGGCCCAGACUCCUACGGGAGGCAGCAGUGGGGAAUAUUGGACAAU
rnacentral:rRNA from 1 species